GUGAGAGAUGGGUCAGAGUAAAAAAAAAAAGCUUCAAAAUGGUACCAUUUUGGCGGUCUAAGAUAAUUUUGGGGAGUGUUCAGUGGUUUUUUGGCAUCAAAGUUUUAUUAAUGUUUUUUGUCAACUUGCCUAAAAACCUCAAAUUAGCUGUGUUUUCUAGGCAUUGCCUAGAGUGUGAACAAAUCAGUGCACAGGUUUGUUUGACAUGUUGGUGACAUUUUAAGGAGUAGCAAUAUUUGAGGAAUAACACCUUCGCAGUUGUCAUCCUGCCCUCUGCCCAACCUCACAAUCUGACAAUGGAAAAGAUUUGUCUGUUUCAAGUAUAAUUGCCACUGAGGACGGGUUUUUUUUAGGACCAUUUGAUUAGUAUAUUUGUUUUUAGACAUGAACUAGUGUAUUUUGAAGAAUAAAAUACUAAAAGUGGUAUAGACAGUCACACACACCCCUACUCCCACAACCACACGCAACCCCAGAAGUGAAAAGUUGAGGCUGCAAAAGGUACUAAGUCACCUUGCUGCUAAUGUAGUUGAGAGCACAGCUAGAAUGAGUUUGUUCUUAACCCUGAAACUUGACUCUGGUGUUUAAAAUUGUGAGUGGAUACUUUGACGCCAAAUUGUAGAAAUGAAAACCCAGAAUUCCCUUCGCUGAAGAGGCUGAACUUGGGGAAUUGGCAAAAUGCCUGAAGGCAUAAUGGAGUUAACCCACGAAGCACUAGAUAUUUGAAAGAGCCCUUAUGUAUAAGUUUGGGGAAAUCUUUGAGGUGGCAGCAAGGAUUAGGAUCUACAAUAUGUCGUAGGCAACAGCAUUAAAAGGGAACCUACUGCUUUAAUUGGAACUUAGAAGCACUGGGCUGAACCUUUUCUAUCCUUAACAAUGGCAUUCUUAAGGAAUGUCAGCUAAAAGUAUUAAACCAAAUGUCACAUCUACAUCCUAAGAAUAGAAAUGUAAAAUAUUGAUACAUUGAAGCAUAAAACAACAAAAGUACAAAGUUCUUCAAAAUGCCUCUUGAGAUUGUCUCCUCCAAAUGCCAUACUGGCAUUCUUGCCUGUGCUAAAGUACUGAGUCCACCGAGUAGUUUCUCAGCCUGGCCAUCCUGUAAAUUGUGCAAAUUCUGAUGUAAAACAGUUACCAUGUCACUCCAGGAGCAGGAAUUAAUGUACUUUACCCCUUAGCGGUCGUUUUCCCUUUCACUGGUUAAUCUGGUAAGAACUUCUUUGACCAUGUUUUAUUUUUCUGCACAGUGUUUCUCGUGAAGGCUUUGUAUUUUUCUCCGUCAGCUGCUGUUGUCAGUUUCAACUCCGCAACCCUGUGCACGACAGAACCAAACACUGCCCGCUCCUGUGUGUAUGAGCUCGUGGUCGAGCCACUGUGUCAGUCAUCUGGACAGUCUUCCUCUUUUAACCCAGUGGAACUUUUGCAAUGAUGUUUUGUGGUACACUUCCUUCAGAUCGGAUCUUGAAGAAUCUAGCAUUGUUUCCUAGAGACUAGUUUUUUUCACUGCUUCCUUCUGGGUCUUUUUGCAUCAUUUUUUAAAAGCCAAUGGAAGGGAGAAGAGUACUGAUUCAGAGAGCUUAUAAAAGCUACAUGUAUUAAUAUGCUAACUUUGGAGACUUACAAGGAAGAAUAGGAGCCUUCUUCCUGAACUCUGGACUAUCCCCAAAUCUAUUCAGAAGAACCUGGAGCAAGAUGUUGCUUAUUGGAGCUUGGAUGAGGAAACAGGCCCCGAAGGGCUAAGUAACAGGUCAUAUAACCUGUGAGGGAAAAGAAGAGAGUGGGUGUCGGUGAAGAGUCUGGCAGGAGGAACCUGAACAAGAUACUGAAGCAGCAGGCUGAAGGUCCCCUGUAUUGUCUGCUUCUGCUACUGAUCUACCUGCAGAACUUCUCAUUCAUCCCUGUGGCCUCUGGGCAAUAGCCAAGGGGGAACUCCUCUGAGGGAACCAGACCAGCAUUUUCCAGCCCGUCAUUUUGGGUGACGGAAGGAAGAAGGGGGUGCGAUACAUGUGUGGUGGAUGGAAUGGAAACAUGGACUGUCAAAUUGGUAUACCUCAUGAAUUUCUAUUACCAAUAUAAUUCUUCAGCCAUUUUUAUGGUGUGUGUAUGGGGAAGCUAGAGAUUGUGUCCCUGGAUUGGAGGGGUUAUGAAAAAUGCUGAAGUCUUGAAAAUGUGGCCAUUCAAGAACUUUUGCCUUAAAUGGGUUUAUAAAAAUAUCACUGAUACAACCUGCCUCAUUUCCCAUCAUGGGAGAUCUCUUGAACCAGAGACACUUGUUUAAAAUAACAGCCUGUCUCCGAUAAUCCCUGUAGCUACCUUAAUGUGGGGAAAGGAUAGAAAAUGUCCAGGACAUCGUCAUACAGCUCAUCUACAAAGUUCCAGGAGCACUGACGCCCACAGAAGACUUGGAACUGCAAACAGACAGGAUCACCUCUGGGACAUCUCCUGACUCUUCCCAAUCAAGAGUUUGACUUUUGUUUUACGGGUGAAGAAGGCUGUACUAAAAGACCAAAAUAAUUUGUACUUUCAUUUGUU